rnacentral:rRNA from 1 species
AGAGUUUGAUCCUGGCUCAGGACGAACGCUGGCGGCGUGCCUAACACAUGCAAGUCGAGCGGAGACAGUGAGUAGCUUGCUACGAGCUGUUUUAGCGGCGGACGGGUGAGUAACGCGUGAGCAACCUUUCCCAGACAGGGGAAUAACACACCGAAAGGUGUACUAAUACCGCAUAAGACCACGGGAUCACAUGGUUCUGGGGUAAAAGAUUUAUCGGUUUGGGGUGGGCUCGCGUCCGAUUAGGUAGUUGGUGAGGUAACGGCCCACCAAGCCGACGAUCGGUAGCCGACCUGAGAGGGUGAUCGGCCACAUUGGGACUGAGACACGGCCCAAACUCCUACGGGAGGCAGCAGUGGGGAAUAUUGGGCAAUGGAGGAAACUCUGACCCAGCAACGCCGCGUGGAGGAAGAAGGUUUUCGGAUCGUAAACUCCUGUCCUUGGAGACGAGUAGAAGACGGUAUCCAAGGAGGAAGCCCCGGCUAACUACGUGCCAGCAGCCGCGGUAAUACGUAGGGGGCAAGCGUUGUCCGGAAUAAUUGGGCGUAAAGGGCGCGUAGGCGGCUCGGUAAGUCUGGAGUGAAAGUCCUGCUUUUAAGGUGGGAAUUGCUUUGGAUACUGUCGGGCUUGAGUGCAGGAGAGGUUAGUGGAAUUCCCAGUGUAGCGGUGAAAUGCGUAGAGAUUGGGAGGAACACCAGUGGCGAAGGCGACUAACUGGACUGUAACUGACGCUGAGGCGCGAAAGUGUGGGGAGCAAACAGGAUUAGAUACCCUGGUAGUCCACACUGUAGACGAUGAAUGCUAGGUGUAGGGGGUAUCGACCCCUUCUGUGCCGCAGUCAACACAAUAAGCAUUCCGCCUGGGGAGUACGGCCGCAAGGUUGAAACUCAAAGGAAUUGACGGAAGGG